rnacentral:rRNA from 1 species
UAGCAUAUCAAUAAGCGGAGGAAAAGAAACCAACAGGGAUUGCCCCAGUAACGGCGAGUGAAGCGGCAACAGCUCAAAUUUGAAAUCUGGCCCUUACGGGUCCGAGUUGUAAUUUGUAGAGGAUGCUUUUGGCAAGGCGCCGCCCGAGUUCCCUGGAACGGGACGCCACAGAGGGUGAGAGCCCCGUCUGGCUGGCCGCCGAGCCUCUGUAAAGCUCCUUCGACGAGUCGAGUAGUUUGGGAAUGCUGCUCAAAAUGGGAGGUAUAUGUCUUCUAAAGCUAAAUAUUGGCCAGAGACCGAUAGCGCACAAGUAGAGUGAUCGAAAGAUGAAAAGCACCUUGAAAAGAGGGUUAAAUAGUACGUGAAAUUGUUGAAAGGGAAGCGCUUGUGACCAGACUUGGGCGCGGCGGAUCAUCCGGGGUUCUCCCCGGUGCACUUCGCCGUGUCCAGGCCAGCAUCAGUUCGUCGCGGGGGAAAAAGGCUUCGGGAACGUGGCUCCCCUGGGAGUGUUAUAGCCCGUUGCAUAAUACCCUGCGGUGGACUGAGGACCGCGCAUCUGCAAGGAUGCUGGCGUAAUGGUCACCAGCGACCCGUCUUGAAACACGGACCAAGGAGUCGUCUUCGUAUGCGAGUGUUCGGGUGUCAAACCCCUACGCGUAAUGAAAGUGAACGCAGGUGAGAGCUUCGGCGCAUCAUCGACCGAUCCUGAUGUUCUCGGAUGGAUUUGAGUAAGAGCAUACGGGGCCGGACCCGAAAGAAGGUGAACUAUGCCUGUAUAGGGUGAAGCCAGAGGAAACUCUGGUGGAGGCUCGCAGCGGUUCUGACGUGCAAAUCGAUCGUCAAAUAUGGGCAUGGGGGCGAAAGACUAAUCU